rnacentral:lncRNA from 1 species
AGAGUGAUUCUGGAACAAUAAUGGGGUCUGAGAGUGGGAUUUUGGGGUCACAAAGGGGGAUUUGGGGGUCAUAGAGGGGGCUGCAGGUCCUGGCAGGGCAAACCUUUGUGCCGCAUGUCACUGUUAUGGGAUUUGAGGCUCCAGAAGUGUGAUUUGGGGCUAUGAGAUGGGGUUUCUGGGGUCUGGGAGCGGGAUUUUGGGGUCAGAAAGGGGAAUUUUGGGGUCAUAGAGGGGGCUGCAGGUCCUGGUACGGCGGACCUUCACACUGCAUGUCACUGUUAUGGGAUUUGGGGCUCCAGGAGUGGGAUUUUGUGCUCCAGAAGUGGGAUUUGGGGCUAUGAGAUGGGGUUUUUGGGGUCUGGGAGCGGGAUUUUGGGGUCAGAAAGGGGAUUGGGGGCCACUUUGGGGCCGAGCCUCGCGCCUCAUGCCGCUGGCCAGGCACUUCUGGUAGCGGCAGUACUGGCAGCGGGUGGGUCUGAAUGGGAUUUUGGGGUCAGAAAGGGGGAUUUGGGGUCUGAGAGUGGGAUUGUGGAGCAAUAAUGGGGUCUGGGAGUGGGAUUUUGGGGUCAGAAAGGGGAAUUUUGGGUCAGAAAGGGGGCUGCAGGUCCUGGCAGGGCAAACCUUUGUGCCGCAUGUCACUGUUAUGGGAUUUGGUGCUCCAGGAGUGGGAUUUGGGGCUAUGAGAUGGGGUUUUCGGGGUCUGGGAGCGGGAUUUUGGGGUCAGAAAGGGGAUUGGGGGCCACUUUGGGGCCUACCCUCGCGCCUCAUGCCGCUGGCCAGGCACUUCUGGUAGCGGCAGUACUGGCAGCG